AUUGAACGUUGGCGGCAGGCCUAACACAUGCAAGUCGAGCGGAUGAGUGGAGCUUGCUCCAUGAUUCAGCGGCGGACGGGUGAGUAAUGCCUAGGAAUCUGCCUGGUAGUGGGGGACAACGUUUCGAAAGGAACGUUAAUACCGCAUACGUCCUACGGGAGAAAGUGGGGGAUCUUCGGACCUCACGCUAUCAGAUGAGCCUAGGUCGGAUUAGCUAGUUGGUGAGGUAAAGGCUCACCAAGGCGACGAUCCGUAACUGGUCUGAGAGGAUGAUCAGUCACACUGGAACUGAGACACGGUCCAGACUCCUACGGGAGGCAGCAGUGGGGAAUAUUGGACAAUGGGCGAAAGCCUGAUCCAGCCAUGCCGCGUGUGUGAAGAAGGUCUUCGGAUUGUAAAGCACUUUAAGUUGGGAGGAAGGGCAGUAAGUUAAUACCUUGCUGUUUUGACGUUACCGACAGAAUAAGCACCGGCUAACUUCGUGCCAGCAGCCGCGGUAAUACGAAGGGUGCAAGCGUUAAUCGGAAUUACUGGGCGUAAAGCGCGCGUAGGUGGUUCGUUAAGUUGGAUGUGAAAGCCCCGGGCUCAACCUGGGAACUGCAUCCAAAACUGGCGAGCUAGAGUAUGGCAGAGGGUGGUGGAAUUUCCUGUGUAGCGGUGAAAUGCGUAGAUAUAGGAAGGAACACCAGUGGCGAAGGCGACCACCUGGGUUAAUACUGACACUGAGGUGCGAAAGCGUGGGGAGCAAACAGG
rnacentral:rRNA from 1 species